rnacentral:tRNA from 1 species
UGAGAGCUCAAGUCGGUAGAGCAUGAGACUCUCAAUCUCAGGGUAGUGGGUUCGUGCCUCACGUUGGGGGAAAAA